GUGAGGACACUUUAAAAAAAAAUCGCCAAAAAACUGGACUUAGUUUCAUCUAUUGUAACAUUUACCUGAGAUGAUCAUUUCUUUAGUCUAGAAUUUGCCCCAAAUCAGAAGUAUACCUCUGAAUUAUCUGUAUGUGUCCUGGAUUCCUUGGGGUCAGAUUUUUAAAGUUACUUUAUAACCAUUUUGUCCAUUUGAUGCCAUUGUUUAUCAUCUUUUGAGAAAAAAGUUCUGUCAUACCCUUCUCUCCACAAAAAAGAGACUGAGAGGGAGAUCAAGUGAAAGGGUGCAAGCAAACUUAGUGACUCCUUGAGGUGUUUGUCAGUUUUGGCUUUUUUCUCCUUUGUUGUAUUCUUUAUGUAUUGUCUUGAUGUACUUAAUAUUACCUGAGUUUGAAAUGGAUGAAGACAGCUGCUACCAUUAAGGACCAAAUUUUAUGCUACCACUAAACAAAAAUACCCACUCAGUCUGUGUUAGAUUGUAUGUCUUUUUAAAGGUAUUUAGAGAUUCAACUAAGCUUUAAAGAGGGCUGAGCAGCUCAGGAAGCCUGUAAUGUGGGCAUAACUCUUUGGACCUGAUCUUGAUGCUUCUGCUGCUCUGUUGGCCUCUGAAGAGCAAUAUCUAAUUUAUUAUUACUGUAAUUUUUUAAAAGGCUUUAAAGUGCCUCAGGGGUCCCCUGAAACUAAUUUUCUAUUUCUGGGAUUCCCUGGAUUCAUUAUAUGAGAUGGUGACAUGAUUAGAGGAAUUCUUUUUUAGUAUGAAAAUUGUCCCUUUUCUUCUUCAGUACUUGCCUCCUUGCUGGCAUUGAAUUAACACAGGGACAAAAUAUGGUUAAUUUUUUAUUUCUAAUUCUCCCAACAAACCCCUGUUGCCCAGUAUUUAUGUGGUGGCCUUUAACCACCUGAGGGAAAAAAUGAGCUUAUUCAAGCUGCCAAUAUUUAUCUAUGGGCUGUAGCAGUACACUGAAUUGUACUGUGCCAGGGAUAUUGAGAUGCUCUGGGGGUAUAUUGUAUACCUGCCAGUUUUCUUCAUUUCUGAAUUGAGUUUUCUUUUCUUGAUGUUGGUUUCCUUCAUAUCACCUCAAGGUUUAGAUUUGUGAAGGAAUAAGCAUGAUGGAAAUAAUAGUCUUGAAAGGAGAUAUGUUGUAUAUAAUCAGGAGGAAGAGGAAGGAAGGACUUACCCAUUUUGAUAUUUUGCUGUAGGUGGCCAGUUUUGUUUCUCAUAGGGAAAUCUGACCCCCACCUGUCAUGUUGGCUCCUAAGGAACUGCUGUUGUAAGCGGCUCAUCAAGAGUUGAACUUCACGUAGCCUUGUUGGGAAUAUGGAAAAGGAAGAAAGCCACAGGACUGCCCAUUCAGUCUUG
rnacentral:lncRNA from 1 species